rnacentral:rRNA from 1 species
UACGGGGGGUGCGAGCGUUGUCCGGAAUCACUGGGCGUAAAGGGCGCGUAGGUGGUUUGAUAAGGGUGUGGUGAAAGUCCGGGGCUCAACCCCGGAUCUGCCGUGCCGACUGUCAGACUCGAGGACUGUAGAGGCAGACGGAAUUCCGGGUGUAGCGGUGGAAUGCGUAGAGAUCCGGAGGAAGACCGGUGGCGAAGGCGGUCUGCUGGGCAGUGGCUGACGCUGAGGCGCGACAGCGUGGGGAGCGAACAGG